AUUGAACGCUGGCGGCAGGCCUAACACAUGCAAGUCGAACGAGUGGCGGACGGGUGAGUAAUGUCUGGGACACUUCCCGCUGGAGUGGGAUAACUACUGGAAACGGUAGCUAAUACCGCAUACCAUCGGAUGUGCCCCGAUGGGCUUAGCUUGUAGGUUGGGUAACGGCUCACCUCGGCGACGAUCCCUAGCUGGUCUGAGAGGAUGACCAUCCACACUGGAACUGAGACACGGUCCAGACUCCUACGGGAGGCAGCAGUGGGGAAUAUUGCACAAUGGGCGCAAGCCUGAUGAAGCCAUGCCGCGUGUAUGAAGAAGGCCUGCGGGUUGUAAAGUAAUUUCAGCGAGGAGGCGUUACUCGCAGAAGAAGCACCGGCUAACUCCGUGCCAGCAGCCGCGGUAAUAC
rnacentral:rRNA from 1 species